rnacentral:ncRNA from 2 species
ACACAGCGCUCUGGAGAGAUCCGGCGGCCCCAAUUCCCGCGCAAGAUGGCGCGGGCGCGGCUGGCCCGGACGCCGAAGGUGCAAACCCGCAACGUCGCGGGGCAACUCUCAGGCAAAAGGACAGAGGGGCGGAA